rnacentral:rRNA from 1 species
CCUGCACCUGCCGGCGACCGGCGCACGGGUGAGUAACACGUAUGGAACCUGCCCGCCACAGGGGAUAACCCGGGGAAACCCGGCCUAAUACCCCAUGCCGCCCGGACCGGGCAUCCGGUCCGGGCGAAAGGAGGAAUCCGGUGGCGGCUGGGCAUGCGGCGCAUUAGCUUGACGGCGGGGUAACGGCCCACCGUGGCGACGAUGCGUAGGGGUUCUGAGAGGAAGGCCCCCCACACUGGAACUGAGACACGGUCCAGACUCCUACGGGAGGCAGCAG